rnacentral:lncRNA from 1 species
GAACCCCCUCACCCAUUCUUAGUUUAAAUUCUUCCUGCUGGGAGCCGAGAUGGUGCGGGAGCCAGGUGGAGUCUCAACCUCUCCCCUCAGUGACGGACUCAGAGGUGGCCAUGGGACUUGGGAGUUGGCUGAAACAACAGGGAAGGAAGUAGGGAUAUUGUCCAGGAGAUUAGCGACAAAGGUCAUAGAGAGAUGACCACAAUUCACAUGGCUGUCACCUGGGGAGAGAUCCCAAAGUAAGAUCAAGAGAAACAAAGGGGAAAAAAGGUGAAGACAACAAUGUAAUUCAUGCUUUGAGUCCUUGGACCAAGCACUUCCUAAAGCCAGAAUUCCUAAGUAUGGGAGUGAAAAUGUUGACUCAGGGCUGGGCAAGGUAGCUCAGCUUGUAAUCCUAACACUUUGGGAGGCUGAGGAGGAAGAAUUGCUUAAGGCCAGGAGUUUGAGACUAGCUUGGGCAACAUAGCAAGACCCCUGUCUCUUAAAAAAAAAGAUGACUCAGCUUGACAUGAUUUCUAAUGUUUUACUCCAAGACCCCACUAACAUGCCUGAAAAAGAUAAAAAAUACCAAACUUGGAGAACCUGAGGCAAAGAUGGUGCAGUGCACAAGGACAGGAGAUGAGAGCACGUGACAGGUGUCCUACGGGCAGCUCGGGCCUCAGGCUCCCUGGCGAUUCCCAUGCACAGCCCCCGGGGAGAAGAGCCUUGUUGAUGUUGAUCAGCAGGGAAGGAGGGACGGCUACGAGAGAGGCUGGAGGACAGUGGAGACAUUCAGAUCCUGCUUCUGCGCAGGAAGGGCUGGACCUCAAGAUGAAUCGCAGUUUUGGGGACCUCUUCUUGCUACAAUUUUGUGCACCUGUAGACUCCAAUGGGUGCAUGCUGAUGGCCGUAUCAUUAUCUCCAGUCUGUGGAGAGGUCAACGGUACUCUCAGCCACCGUUUUCUGAGAACAAGUUUGCCACUGUUAUUGCCCACCCUGGACUGCAGUAGCAGAAGCCACAUGUGGUGCUCCCAGUAGAGGACGGGAUGCUCCGUCCUCGUCUGCCCCCUUCCCUUGGAUUGAUGGAUGCUUCUCCGCACAUUGGCCUGAAUUCUGCUCCACUCUUCCCUGUUGCAACAGCAAUUCCUCUAAAUUCAGUGGCGGUCGACCUGACCCUGCGUAUUUCUUGUCCCAGUGCCAUUUUCUUUACCUGGAAUACUGCUCUACCUCUUCUUUUAAAGUAUUGAAUUUUCAAUAUCUUGUAUGUUCCAGUUAAAAAUAUAUCAUAAACUCUUUU